GCCCUCCUUACACCACUUCCUCUUGAAGGUUCCCCAAGAGCUGACAGGUUUGUGUGGACGCCAGUUCUCUCCCACCCGUUGCCCUUGCUGACCGUCCAGGAGACUCGCCCUGAAGCCAGGCACGUCUCCAUGGGCAGAAGUGAGCCUCCCAGGACUCCGCAGGGAACCCACCUGGCUUCCUCUGACCAGUGCCCCUGCCUCACAGAGCAUCGCCCUCUGUCCACUCCCCUCGGGUCUCUGCACUAAGCUCAUGCCCCAAGGCCUAUGAGGACCUGCUGGGGGAAGUGGGUGAGUGACUCAGCUGUCCCCCACCCUGUCCCUUUUCUCUCUGUGUUCCUGGAGCAGCAGUUCCCUGACUUUUAGACUUUAUUUUUUAAAAAUUUAAAAAAAAAUCUGAGGUUCUCAUGAAGUUUCUAACUUUCAAUGGUCAGGUAAGACUGCUUUGAGCCACUGGCACCUUCAUUCCAGAAAACAGGGGCAAAUUUGAAGGGAAAAAAAAAUCCUUUCAGCUGAAUACAUUUAGCAAGAAACUAACCUGAUUUUUCUUUUUUUGCUCAGGCCACCAAGAACCCUGUCAAGAAGCGACAUGCAGGGCAGUGCCCCUGGGAAUGCUUGUCUUGGCCCUGCCCUCUGCUGCUGGCCCCACUCCCCCCUCGCUGUACCCCAACUUCCCAUCAGGAAUGACCCCUUUUCUCUCACCCCACCAUCUUCCCUUUAAGCUCUGCAGAAGCCUGUAGUCUGCAGAAUGUCCUAGACCUACUGCUGGGGAGCUUCCCUGUCCCCAGGCAGGAGCUUCCUCCCUGCUGUGGAGGGAUGCCCACCCCCCAGGUCUGUUCAUUAAUAAGCAACUUUCAUUUUGUCCCUGCUCUGUCCCCCAUGUCCCUCAGCAGGCUCUUAUUAUUGACUGACUGACCCUCUUCCCUUAAAAGUGAGGGAAAUUAGCCCUAAGUUUCCUCUAACUUGCCAAAGAACUAGAUCCUUCCAAUCUAGUCACUGUCCAGAGGAGAUUCCUUGCAACUGAUGUAAUAGGCCAAUUUAUUUUAGAGUCUGAAUAAAUACCCAGCCACUUUGGCAGCCGAGGAGACUGCCUACCGUGACGCCAGAGGGCCCAG
rnacentral:lncRNA from 1 species